AAGAGACAGCGAUGGCGGCAGAACCUUCGAAGGCUGGGUCUGCCCGGUCUUCCUACCAGCAGAUGGGGAGGAAGAGUCAGCCCUGGGGGACCACUGAAAUCCAGUGCACCGGGUGUGGAAGGAGGGUGUCCAGAGCAUCCGGUCACCAUUAUGGACUUCAAUGUGGACAUGCUUUAUGCGAACUGUGCUUGUUAAUAAAUGAAGAAUGCACUACAAUUAUAUGCCCUGAUUGUGAGGUUGCUACAGCUGUGAAUACUAGACAAGGCUACUACCCAAUGGCUGGAUGUUUUAAAGAAGACCUUGUAAUGGAAAAACUGCAGCCUAAGACGUAUGUCCCAUGUGUAUUUAUUUGAAUAUUUAGAGUCAGUGUGUUAC
rnacentral:lncRNA from 1 species